CCUACAUUGGGAGGCCACAAGGGCACAAUGGUGUUGACAGGUCAGCCAGAGCACUACACAGAGGACCUUCUGCAGCUGGACUUGAAAUGGUGAAGAAAAUUGGAUCCGGCCUCUUUGAGAAGCCAAUAGCAAACACCCCAAGCAUCUGACACAGGCUUGAAUCUGAAAGCUGUCAGUUACACAAUGGGCAUGUGGCGGCCUGGACCCCGUUACGGCUCAGUUCUCCAAGGGGCAGUCUUAUCUCUUCCUCUGAUGUUAUCACUUGCCAAGGAAAGCUCAGACAAAAGUCAACUGUUGCACCCAGCUGGAAUGUAACUGUGUUCAGGAAUGUCCCAGUGGAGUAGAGCUCAUUUAUGUUCAGAUGGGAGGUACCCUCUUGGUAAGAACGGAAUCACUAAAAAUUCUCACACCCU